rnacentral:rRNA from 1 species
UACGUAGGGCGCAAGCGUUGUCCGGAAUUAUUGGGCGUAAAGAGCUCGUAGGUGGCGUGUCGCGUCUGCCGUGAAAGCCCAUGGCUUAACUGUGGGUCUGCGGUGGAUACGGGCAGGCUAGAGGCUGGUAGGGGCAAGCGGAAUCCUGGUGUAGCGGUGAAAUGCGCAGAUAUCAGGAGGAACACCGGUGGCGAAGGCGGGUCUCUGGGCAGUUGACUGACGCUGAGGAGCGAAAGCAUGGGGAGCGAACAGGAUUAGAA